rnacentral:rRNA from 1 species
UACGUAGGGACCGAGCGUUGUCCGGAAUCAUUGGGCGUAAAGGGCGCGUAGGCGGCCAGCACAAGUCAGUUGUGAAAUCUCCGAGCUUAACUCGGAAAGGUCAACUGAUACUGUGCGGCUAGAGUCCGGAAGAGGAGAGUGGAAUUCCCAGUGUAGAGGUGAAAUUCGUAGAUAUUGGGAAGAACACCGGUGGCGAAGGCGGCGACCUGGUCCGUGACUGACGCUGAGGCGCGAAAGCGUGGGGAGCAAACAGG